UAAAAUCAAAUUUCAAUCCAUGUUCGUUUCAUCAAAUCUUUCAUUUCUUUAACUUUAUAAUAAAAUAGAAUACUAGUUUCACUCUUAACUAAGGAGAGUAUAGGUGUGAAACACCUACUUGCCACUGAUGCUCGAUUUGCGCUCCUUUGUUGUUGUACCCCCCCGAUGGUUACUCUUGAAUUCGUAAGUAAAUCACAUUAAUUCAUAUCCAAUUUUCAUUUUGCAAACGGCAAGGCAACAACAACAACAUUUACUCUUCACGUUUCAUUGUUUUAGAUCAUUAUGCACAUCAUCAAUUUCAUUUUCAAAUGUGGUUUACCCCCUUCCGAUGUCAAGAUUCGAUGUUAGAAAAAUUUUAAUAGGAAGGAAACCGAUUUUUUCCCUUAUCACGGAUAACAUUUCCCAUUUUAUCAUUUCUCACUGAAUCUGCUAGCAGGGACAACAGUUCAACCUUCCUUCAUAUAUUUACCUAUAUUCGGAGCUUUAGAGCUCUAAAUUGAGCGAGGUUGGAUUCAUUAGAAAGAUAACAUCUCAAGCUACAAUUUCUAUGAGAGAUGUUUCCUAAAUUGUGUCGUCCUGAGACUCGAAUAUCCUCUAGAACGGGAGUGACGAAUCUGUCCAGGAUUCGUCGGCGAUUCCUAAGUGAGUUUUCUACUAUAACUGGUUCAUGCAUGAAAAUAUAUAACACACCAGAAUUCUUCUUCUUUCCCUCCAUUUGGCUCUUGGCCGAGCUUAGUCUAAAGGGACUAAGGAUUUCCUUUUUCUUUCUAGCUGAUUUUUCUUACCUCAUUAACUCCUUGUCCACAUUCUAUACAUACUAUAAGUGUUCAUCAACUUAAAUUUUAGAAUUCCUUUCCUUCCCCAUUCCAUCCUCACAUGGCCGGCCACUCAAGCUUUUGAGUCAAUGAUUUUUGUUUAACAAUCUUAUGUGUUUUUCAUGUUUAGAACAUCUUCUGUUAGCUUAACUAACCUCAUUCUAACAAUUUCUACAUUUCCCCCAAAUUUUCCUUCAAGAACCUUAAUUUAUAAAAUCUGAAAUUGGUGCAUAAUUCCUACUUAAUUGUUAAUUUAUUUUACACCAUUAAGUCUAGUGUCUUGAAAAAUACCAUCUUCACCUUUAUAUCCAAAUGAAUUAGACAUUUUUAAAUGUUUUUGUUCGAAUAAAUGGAGUCUUAACUUAGUAUGUGUUUAAUAUUAUAAUAGUUUUUGUGGUUGUAAUUUUAAAAAAAAUAGGUAAUUUUUUUUAAAAAAUAGGUAAAAAUAACAUUUUUAGUUGUAAUUUUUUAAAAAAAUGUUUAAUUUAAACUAUACAUGUAAAAUAAAUAAAAAAUAUUAUUUUAGUUUAUAUAAAAGUAAGGUUUGAACAAAACUACAUGUGACCCCAGUGUAAAAAAAAAAAAAAACCUAUAUGACUAACAAAACUAUUCUUUCUAAGUAGUUUGACAAAAAAAACAACUACUGUACUAAACGGUUUCUAUUGCGUAUCCAAUAAUUU
rnacentral:lncRNA from 1 species